rnacentral:rRNA from 1 species
GGAGGGUGCAAGCGUUAUCCGGAUUUAUUGGGUUUAAAGGGUCCGUAGGCGGAUCUGUAAGUCAGUGGUGAAAUCUCACAGCUUAACUGUGAAACUGCCAUUGAUACUGCAGGUCUUGAGUGUUGUUGAAGUAGCUGGAAUAAGUAGUGUAGCGGUGAAAUGCAUUGAUAUUACUUAGAACACCAAUUGCGAAGGCAGGUUACUAAGCAACAACUGGCGCUGAUGGACGAAAGCGUGGGGAGCGAACAGGAUUAGAUACCCUGGUAGUCCACGCCGUAAACGAUGCUAACUCGUUUUUGGAUUUUCGGAUUCAGAGACUAAGCGAAAGUGAUAAGUUAGCCACCUGAGGAGUACGUUCGCAAGAAUG